AAAAAAAUGAUGAGAUCCUAAUAGCUGAAUUUCAUGUGGAAUCCUUAUAUCAUAAUGGUCUUCAAAGUUCUCUGAUUGCU